rnacentral:rRNA from 1 species
GACGAACGCUGGCGGCGUGCCUAACACAUGCAAGUCGAGCGGGGAUUUAAGUGGAAGUUCUUCGGAAUGGAGAUUUAAAUUCUAGCGGCGGACGGGUGAGUAACGCGUGAACAAUCUGUCCCGGACAGGGGGAUAACACUUGGAAACAGGUGCUAAUACCGCAUAAGACCACGGCCUCGCAUGGGGCUGAGGUAAAAGGAGCAAUCCGGUUCGGGGUGAGUUCGCGUCCGAUUAGCUAGUUGGUGAGGUAACGGCCCACCAAGGCGACGAUCGGUAGCCGGCCUGAGAGGGUGAACGGCCACAUUGGAACUGAGAGACGGUACAAACUCCUACGGGAGGCAGCAGUGGAGAAUAUUGGGCAAUGGGCGAAAGCCUGACCCAGCAACGCCGCGUGAGGGAAGAAGGUUUUCGGAUUGUAAACCUCUGUCCUAUGGGACGAAGGAAGUGACGGUACCAUAGGAGGAAGCCCCGGCUAACUACGUG